GGCCCUAUCGUCUAGUGGUUAGGACAACAGCUUUUCAAGCUGUGAACAGGGGUUCGAUUCCCCUUAGGGCUACAA
rnacentral:tRNA from 1 species